rnacentral:rRNA from 1 species
UACGUAGGGUGCAAGCGUUGUCCGGAAUUAUUGGGCGUAAAGAGCUCGUAGGCGGUUUGUUGCGUCGGCUGUGAAAUCCCGAGGCUCAACCUCGGGUCUGCAGUCGAUACGAGCAAACUAGAGUGUUGCAGGGGAGACUGGAAUUCCUGGUGUAGCGGUGAAAUGCGCAGAUAUCAGGAGGAACACCGGUGGCGAAGGCGGCUCUCUGGAACGGUACUGACGCUGAGACGCGAAAGCGUGGGGAGCGAACAGG